CGCGCGACAAGACGUAUCGAGUAUUCCGCGAAUAAUUAGGUUGCCGAUUGAAAUUCAAACGCGGGGGUGCUUUAACCGACGCCAUGAUGGAUUCGUCUUCAAUUCGAACGAGAUUUCACGAAGUGUGGCAAAAUUGAUAUUCAUGUUCGUUACCAGCGUUUGACUUUGGCCUGUUCUUGGUCUUGUGUUUCAAUAACAAGGGGCGAAUCGUCGCAGUGUCAAGAAGAACAGUAUUUCAGUGUCUAAUACUCUGAUCGGAAAGAAAAAAAUUCCAGGGAAGCACAGCCAUGCUGCUUCGACCUUGUCUCCUAUCCCACUCUUUCUUUCAGCGACUUUGUGACCGCGUGCAAGGCGGUCGGUCGAGUCAGUGUUUACACGUAGGUAGAAGUCUUCUUUAUUUUGAUACACAAUGGUAUCUAUCGAGUAGAUCUUCGUCUAAAUUUUAGGCAUACGCGUAGUAGAGUCAAUGUUUAUCGUGUAUUACUGGAAGAGGAGUAUUGAGCGAUGCUUAACAA